rnacentral:lncRNA from 1 species
CGUCUUGAUACUUUUUUAAUUUAAAAUAAUUAUGUUAUUACCAUGUGUACAUUCCGUACCUUGGUUUAAUAUUUAAUUUCAAGGAAAUACCUUUUGUGCGUAUCGCAUCUUGGUCAAAAUAAUUAAUAAAAAAUAUGAUAAAUUAAGUGAAGUGGUAAUAAACAAGACAUAACCAAUAAAAUACAAGAAUAACUAAAAAUUUAUUUAAGCCUUACUAAUCAAUAGAAACGACCGUGCUAGAACCACGAGACUCGAGGGGUGCCUUACACCUUCCCCUCGGUCAACAGAAUUCCUUACUCAGUCUUCUAUUUUCAUAGACUAUAAAUUAGUAGUCAAACCUUCCUUUCGAAAUGGGAUUCAAAUAAAAGGUGACUUGGAACAUCAAAACUUAAUUCCAAGUGGCGAAUCUAAAUAAUAAAUAACCCUUUUCAAAAUGUCACUUUAAUUGGAAAAACUCUUCUAACUCAACCUCGUAACAAGGUUGUGUGGUAAAAAAGAGGUGCGACAACCGUUGCGACUCUGCUGGGGACAAUUAAUAAGAAUUCGAGCUUUGUAUAUUGAUUCUUGUUUGGCUUUUAUCAUGUUUUAAUAUUACUGUGUUUGGAAGCCUAAUGUGUUAUUUGUCGCUUGUUUACCGCUUUAAUAUUUAUUUGAACUGUGAUAUAAAUUGUAUCCUCUCUCGCACCUGUCUGAGUCUUCUGAUAGGUAGUUAUGUUGUGUUUGCCUACUAGCAUCACAAAACUUCUAUCUUCAGAUAAAGCCAAUUAGCCUACCAGCUUCUGGUGAAAGAUUUAGUCACACAUGUUUAGGCAGGAGAGCCUUUAACUAGCUAGUGCUGUUCUACCAUUGGUGACGCUUGACGCUCCUCGGCCCGGGUUCUCCACCCGGGUAAGCCAGGUCUAGAUACCAUCUCCUUUAGGAUUUGAAAACUUCGAAGAACAAACCACAAGCAAUGAAUAUUCCUAGUAGGUUAAGCUUUAUUUGCAUCAUAUGCAUUGAGCUUAGCGGGCUCAGCACAAGGGUCGGGCCUAUCUAGGACAGGAACCAAUUUUUCGGACCAACAUGUUCAUAUCUAUGUGCUAUAUGUAACGUUAUUUGGUAGGCAUCACUAAAAUGUUGACCGGCUUUAGGAUAGAAUUAAACAAGGAUAAAGAAAGAGAAAAUUUCCAAGUUUUCUUAAAAUACCAUUAUUUUAAAAUAAAAUUUUGAAAGGUUUUGGUAUAUAAACUAACAAUUUUCAAAAUAAUUUUCUUUUUAGUUAUUUUAACCGAACUAUGCGGGUUUGAUUCUCACCGGUUGUGAGAUACGUAGGAAACCUUCAUCACGUACAACCCUAUUUUAAAUAAACAUAAAAAAGGAGUAAAAAAAGAUUUUUAUGGACUAUUAGAUUUUAUUUUUAUAUAUAUUUUUUCCAAAUAAUGAUAAUAUAGUCACUUUAUCAAAUUUUUAACCAGUUUUGCCCUUGCAUCCGGUCUUUUUAUCGAAGUAGCCUUGAAACCUGCAUCGAAAAUGCGAAAUGGGAGGCUAGUUUUAUAUUUUAUUAGUUAUUUUUACAAAACAAAAAAAAGUUAUUUGGGCCUUUUAUUUUUUAAUGACUAUUACUAAUGUAAUUUUUUUAGUCCCACAGUUUGAUUUUUAUUUAUUUAUUUUUUCUUCAAACUCGAGAAAUUGGAAUUUUUGUGUCAAUAGUAUAUUUAACUAAAACCGACCCCGUGUCUGGAUAAAUAGGUGCACCAUGAGUGGUGAAAGAGGUAAGUCCGAUAAGAGGCCCAGGUCAGAAAGGAUACCAGAUUUUCUUAUUGUUGAUCAGAUACCACAAUUAUUAUGGGAUUGGUGGAGAGAUUUUAAGGAAUAUGAGCGAGACCAGAUAAAGAAGUACUUGGGACAUUUGGUUCACAUGAUGAAGAUCAAGCCUAGGAGGGAUGUAAUCGAAGCUUUGAUUCCGCAUUGGGAUCCUGAAAAUAAUGUGUUCCAUUUUACUGAUUGUGAGAUGACUCCGACCUUGGAGCAAAUCGCCCAUUUCCAGGGGUGGGACCGUAGUCUUCGCUGCCAGAGACCCAUAGUGCCAAAAAGUGUGAAUGAGGGUAAGUUUCUAAAGCUCUUGAACAUAAACUAUGGACAUUAUGAAGGUUUAGGAGGCAAUUGAGUUAAGUUGGGAUUUAGGGCGUGUAGUUUUUCCAGAAAGGGAAGGACACAUUGACAUCCGAUUGGCAGGUGUAGUCGAGGUGCUAACCUCAAAAGGUGAUGAUUAUACUUUGGUCCCUAUGAUUCUUUCUUCCAUUUUUCGUGCUUUAACUGGAUUUAAACUGGGCGCACAAAACUUUGAUGGCUGCAACAUUUUGCUGCAAAUAUGGUUUUUGGAGCAUUUUUAUCGCCAUCCUACGAUCUCUAAUUUUAUUGAGCUCUGGCCCAAUCACACUUUUGAUCACCAGAAGAGAAUUGACAAAUGUGACUUACCUGAAGGGAUUAACUUCUGGAAAGAACUACUUCUUACUUUUUCUGCCAAACAAAUCACAUGGAAUUACGAUUAGUUUUCCUCGAAAGAGGUCAUUUGUGAAUCUGCAUACCAUUCUUAUUUCGUACUUACAGGAUUGGAUGUUGUUCAGCCUUAUGCUCCACUUUGGGUAAUGCAUUAGCUUGCACGAUGACAGGAGGUGCCACCAGCAUGAGAUAUGAGCAAGGUCUGUUAUGAUUUUGGUAAAGAUCAACCUCAUGACGAAGGGGAAAUUAUGAAAAAUUGGUAUGCAAGUAAAGUUUUGGAGUUCAAUGAGAUGGUAGAGGACCGAGAUCGUGGAGAGGUGAUCCCUGAAUAUAUUACCUGGUUUCAUGAUCCUUCGUCGUUUACAGAUAAGACUGAGGGGCUGAACAGGAGGAGAAAGGAUCAAAGAACUAUAGAUAAGCUGAAAGAUGAAUUGGAGCAUGCUCAGAUGAUUAAAGCCAAACAACAAGCCCAUCAUCAAGCAAAGAGUCGCUCAUAUUCGUUUAAACAUUGAAAAAGAGUAUCAAUCUGCUUUGCGAGUCAUGGAUAAAGAUUUAAAGCGCAUCAGGCCGGAGUCGCUCAUAUUCGUUUAAAAAUUGAGAAAGAUUAUCAAUAUGCUUUGCGGGUCAUGGAUAAAUAUUUAAAGCAUGCUAAAAAUAAGGCAGCCCGCUUAAAAGAAGAACUGUCAAACACGGUUGGUUUAGUCAGAAGAGUGGAGGCGAACAAAAAUGCUGAAAUACAUAAGUUGCCAGAAGACUUGAAUAUCAUUGAAGAAGAUGCGCACCAACAAGUGGAGUUUGAUCAGCAGAAAGAGCAGUUUGAAACAAAAAGGGCCCACUGGAUACGCUCAAAGAGUCAGCUUUAUGCACAAUUAGAAGAAAUAAAAAAGCAGAAUAGGGGUCAUCAUCACACAGAUUUUGAGGAAGAGCGACGUCAAUGGAUGAUUGAGCGAGGUGUGUUAAACCAUCGCAUUGAAGAAUAUGAGGGACGUGAGGCUCAGAUGGGGCACGCCCUCAACACUACCCAGAUGUGGUUGCAUAAUUGUCACAUGAGUAUAGGGAAGGCUAGAGAGCAGGUACUUCGAUUGGUAGAAAAAGUAACAUAUGUUCAUGAUGAUCAUCGUCGUCUAAAUAUUGAGGAAGUUGGUCAACAAGCACGUGUCCUCGUUCCACAGUUGCCAAGGGUGUUUCAGAAUUUGUGCGAGACUUUAGGGGGACAGUAGAGGCCAAGAGAUGCAGACAAUUGAUGAUAUCAGUUAAAGCAAGAAGACUAUUGAAGAUUAACUUUUUAAUACAGUCCAUUAGUUCUCAGUUUCAUUUAUUUGUAGCAUUUUUAAUUUUGGAGACUUUUUUUAUUAUUAUUAUUAUCAAAGUUUGUUUUAUUCCAGUCAUCUUUAUGUCUUUAGAGUCAGUUUGUAUAUAUUUACUUUUCUCUCAUUCUAUUUAAAAAAAAUAUAAUUGACAAAUAUUUUAGUUUGUUUUAUCUAUAAAAAAAUCAUUAUAAUUGUUAUUAUUUCUCCUGAACUACGUGAUGGUCUGAUUAAUGCAGCGUCAUGAUACGUAGGCAAUCCCCAUCGGAUGGGAUCAUAGCCAUAAUUAAUCUAGAAAAAAAUAAAAAAUGAAAAUAAAAUAAAAUAAAAGAGCACUAAGUUCAAAAGGAAAUAAACCAACAAGCCGGGAUGAAGCAUGAAGCCUUCCAAAAUCAUUUUAGAAUUAAAAAUGGCAUUAGGUGUAUGUCAUGCAAUGUGCGAUUAAUAUCAGAAAAAUGCCUAACUCUAACAUGUUUGUUGUUUGUUAUUUCUAAAGAGAUAAGGUUAAACUGGCGACUCACCCUUAUAACACGAGGUCAAAAGGAAAAAGUAGAAUGGGAAACAAUAGUGAGAAUGAGUCAGAUAAUAAUGAUGUCCAUGGAUAAUUGGUCGAACAAGGUUCGAGACUGGUUGAAGAAGCAAGAAUGCUGAAACAUGAAUUGGCAGAUAUGCACCAAGCUUGGGUGAAUGGACAGGCACCACCCUCACUACCCCUGGAGCCUUUGGAUAAUCUUCAUAAUGUGUCAGUUGCAAAUCAAGUGACUAUCUCCAUAAUAAGUAACCCAUUAUACCAACCUGGAUUCAGUCCGAGCGUUAACCUCCUCACUAUCCCCAGUACCUCCAUUCCACGCCCUCCAGCCGCACCAUUCAGAAAUGACCCACAUAUUGUACCCAUUCCUCAACCGGCUCUCGCUCAAAAGCUCAACAAUAAUCCACAAUUGAAUGCUCAUGAUACCCAACAUUACUCUCCAGAACUGAUUUUCAAGGUUCCAGAUUCAUACAAGCAUACUCCUCAGAACAUGUUCCCUAUUGAGGUCGAAAAGCCCAACAAGAAUAUGGAACAAGAGGAAAUAACCAUAAAAGUGAAGAGUUUGGGACAAACAUUUCAGAACAUGUUCCCAGUCGAGGUGAAGAAGCCCAACAAGAAUAUGGAAGAAGAGGAAAUGACCAGAAAAGUGAAGAGUUUGGAACAAACCAUGAGAAACAAACAAGGUUUGGGAGGCCACAAGAGUGUUUCGUUUAAUGAUUUAUGCAUAUUUCCCUAUGUUCAUUUGCCACCUGAAUUCACGACCCCUAAGUUUGACAAGUAUGAUGGUCACAGUGAUCUUGUGGCCCACUUGAAGAGAUAUUGUAACCAAUUGAGAGCAUGGGGCAAAGAAGAAUUACUCAUGUCUUCUUUUGGGGAAAGUUUGACAGAAAUUGCUUCAGAGUGGUUCAUAGAUCAAGACAUACCUCACUGGUACGUUUAGAACGACAUAGCUUAAGAUUUUGUCAAACAAUUUCAGUACAAUAUUGAUAUAGUGCCAGACCGCUCCUCUCUUGUCAACAUAAAAAAGAAAUCUAUAGAAAGCUUCAGAGAAUAUACAAUAAAGUGAGCAGGCUGUUAGGGUCAAACCACCAAUGAAAGAGGCAGAAAUGAUUGACUACUUUCUCCAAGCUCAGGAUCCUGAUUACCUCCAUUAUAUGUUGGCCGCCAUUGGUNNNNNNNNNNNNNNNNNNNNNNNNNNNNNNNNNNNNNNNNNNNNNNNNNNNNNNNNNNNNNNNNNNNNNNNNNNNNNNNNNNNNNNNNNNNCGCCGAGGCGAUUAAGAUUGGGGAAAUAGUUGAGAAUGGCAUGAAGUCGGGCAAAAUGGUGAGUCGGGCAAAAUGGUGAGUCAGGCAUCCCUUAAAGCGACCAUGCAAGCAAUUCAAAACGGGUCAGGCAGUUUCAAAAAUCGGAAAAAGAAGGAGGAAAGAUCCAUGAUGGCGUCUGGAUUCUGGGAAGUUCAAAGAGGAAUAGUUCCUUCAUACGUGCAAUUCCAACAAGGACAAUCCAAUUCUCCUCAACAUUAUUAUCCACCUCAGGGUCCCUGAUACUCAUUUCCCUCGCAACAAUACACAAUGUAUAAUUCUCUGGUUUAUGUUAGGCCUCCCAAUCACCAACAAUGGCGAGUAUCGAUUCCACAAGGCUCCCGUCAACUCCGGCAAAAUUUUCAGGCACCAUAAAAUCCUCAUGCCAGACAAGAAUAUGUGAGAGAACAAGAGCCAAAGAAAGAGUUCACCCCAAUUGGAGAAUGGUAUGCAAGCCUAUUUCGAAAGUUGAUGCAGCUGAAAUUGAUUGAACCUAUCAUGCCGUUACAUGAAUCGAAAUUCAAAAGGUUUUGACUCCAAUGUGAGAUGUGAGUAUCAUUCUAACACUCAAGGUCAUAGUACCGAAAAUUGUUGGAAAUUAAAGAAAUCCAUUGAAAAUUUGAUUGAAGCAAAGGUAAUAGUGGUGACAAACAAUAAAGAUACUCCUAAUAUCACAAACAAUCCGCUCCCAGCUCAUGAUAAUACACAUUUUAUUGGGAUAAUUUGUGAUGAUCCUGAUUAUAAGCGAUCUGGCAAGAGAGAAAUGAUUGUUGGAACCAUAGGGCCAAAGCCAAAAGUGAUAGUAAGCCCGUGGCAAUUGGCAGCGCUGAUUGUGAAAGGUGCGACUUCUAGUCCCAACUUGGCAGGUUCUGAAAAAAUGGUUCUUUAUGUCCCUGGAAGCACAAAUAAGAUUGAGGUUCAAUUGGGUGGGCCAAAACUUUAUAUCCCUGGGGUCAUUUAAAAGAUUGUUCCGAAUAAUGCUUUGAGAAAUAUAAUAGAGCCAGUUGUGAUUCGACCUGUUGCACAACUUCCAGUGUCGAUCCCAAAAGCUAUUCCCUGGAACUAUAACAAGACUGUCAUGACAUACAAAGGAAAAGAGAUAGUGGAAGAAACAGAUGAAAAUGGGAGGCUUGACCCACUAUGGAAGGUGCUAUUUGCCAGAGGAGUUGAGAAAAGCUAAGCAAGCCAAGAAAAAUCACUUUCCAGUGAAAGAAACUGUUUAAGAAAAAGAAGCGGAGGAAUUCCUUAAGAAGAUAAAAAUGCAAGACUACUCAAUCAUUGAUCAACUAAGGAAACCUCCUCCUCAAAUAUCUUUGUUAUCUCUGCUUUUGCACUCGAAAGAACAUCGCCGUGUGUUGAUCAAAACUUUGAAUGAGGCAUAUGUAUCAGAAAAGACAACGGUGAAUCAGCUAGAAAAGAUGGCUGAAAGAUUCUUUGACGUGAACAAAAUUUCUUUCAGCGAUGAUGAUUUGCCUAUGGAAAGGGCUGGGCACAAUAAAGCUUUGCAUCUUAUGGUGAAAUAUGAAGGGCAUUACAUAAAAUUGGUCAUGAUUGACGGAGGCUCAAGUGUAGAAAAGGGGCUGGGCACAAUAAAGCUUCGCAUCUUAUGGUCAAUGUGAAGGGUAUUACGUAAAAGGGGUCAUGAUUGACGGAAGCUCAAGUGUAGAUGUAUGCCCUCUUUCUAUUCUACAACAACUGAACAUUGACACUAACAGAANNNNNNNNNNNNNNNNNNNNNNNNNNNNNNNNNNNNNNNNNNNNNNNNNNNNNNNNNNNNNNNNNNNNNNNNNNNNNNNNNNNNNNNNNNNNNNNNNNNNNNNNNNNNNNNNNGAGACACUAUUGGGGAAAUUGAACUCACCAUGACAAUUGGCCCGGUUGAUUUUAACAUUGUCUUUCAAGUGUUGGAUAUGAAAACCUCCUAUAAUUUUAUUCUAAGAAGGUCGUGGAUCUAUAUGGCCAGAGCUAUACCAUCCACCCUACAUCAAAUGGUCAAAUUCGAAUAAGACAGGCAAGAAGUUGUUGUUCAUGGGGAGGACGACUCAUCCAUCUAUAAUGACCCGUCCAUUCCAUGUAUCGAGGCCAAGGAAGGAAGUGAAUCCCUCAUAUAUCAAACAUUUGAGGUGAUUGAGGUAGACCAAGUGGAAGAAGGAAAANNNNNNNNNNNNNNNNNNNNNNNNNNNNNNNNNNNNNNNNNNNNNNNNNNNNNNNNNNNNNNNNNNNNNNNNNNNNNNNNNNNNNNNNNNNNNNNNUAACCCCAUCUUUCAGCCACAUCUAUGAUGGUAGCUUCACUAAUGUUGAGGAACGGCUAUGAACCAGAAAAAAGUAUUAGGAUCAUUUCUGCAAGGAAUUGUGAACCCCAUUACUCCCUUUUCGAAGAAAGAUACCUUUGCUUGGAUUUUAAACAAACAUCAACUGACAUAAACAGAGCCAAGGCCCACAAAAAAAAUGCUGGGAGCUUGUCAAAACCAAUCCCUCAAGAUGUCAUUGAUGAAGUUUGCCAGUGUCUCAAGGAAAUAUUCUAUGGAAUCAACAUGGUUCAAGUUGGUGAGGGCCCUAGCCGUGCAAGUGUUCAGCUGAUUGGCCCAGAUACCUCGCUCAACAACUGGGAAGCAACUCCUCUUCCCAUCAGGAAGCAGUCUUGGUAGUCUGGUUUGUUGCUUUUUUUGUAUUUGGAUUGUUUUCAAGGUUGUAAUCCAUAUACUUUAGUUUAAUUGCUUUGCUUUGAUGUUAACCCUUCUAUCCUUUCAAAUUCAAUGAAAUGAAGUUCCAGUUUCAUAGUAGAAUUCUGUCUUUUCCUUUCCCUAGUUUUUGUUAAUUUCUCAUCAUUUUCAGUUUCGUUAAUGCUGGCUUUAAAAACAUAGCAUACACGCGAAAUUCAUGCCCAGAUCUUAAAAAGUUGUCUAAUCUCGAAAUAAUGAAUCAAGAAGUUGAGUAUGAUGAAGAUGAAGCCUUCAAGGAAAUAAAAAGAUUAUUGGAUCAAUUUGAGAAUAAGCCUCAGCCUAACUUAAAUGAAACUGAGGCAUUUUUAAGGAAAUAAAAAGAGAAUUGAAUCAAUUUGAGAAUAAGCCUAAACCUAACUUAAAUGAAACUGAGAAAAUUAACAUGGGAAGUCCUGAAGAAAUCAAAGAAACAAAAAUAAGCAUUCAUACUGAACAAAGGACGAGAGAUGCCAUAAUUCGAGUUUUGUUCGAGUAUAGAGAUGUAUUUGUUUGGUCGUAUGAUGACAUGCCGGGUUUGAGUGCUGAUUUAGUGGUCCAUAAGCUUCUCACAUAUCCUAAUUUUCCACCAAUCCAACAAAAACAAAGGAAAUUUAAGACAGAUAUGAGUGAUAAAAUUAAAGAAGAAGUCACGAAGCAACUAAGUGCAAAUGUGAUCAGGGUCGUCCGAUAUAUUACAUUGUUAGCAAAUGUUGUGCCAGUGCCAAAGAAGGUUGGGAAAAUUAGAGUUUGUGUUGACUAUAUGGAUUUAAACAAAGCAAGUCCAAAAGACAAUUUUCCCUUACCCAACAUUCAUAUCCUUGUUGACAAUUGUGCUAACCAUGAGAUCCAAUCUUUUGUGGAUUGUUAUGCCGGAUAUCACCAAAUUCUGAUGGAUGAAGAAGAUGCAGAAAAGACCGUCUUCACCAUUCCAUGGGGACCUAUUAUUAUAUGGUCAUACCAUUUGGUUUGAAGAAUGCAGGAGUAACUUACAUGAGGGACAUGACUACCAUAUUCCAUGACAUGAUGCACAAAGAGAUUGAGGUGUAUGUUGAUGAUGUGAUCAUUAAGUCUAGAACACGAGAUGAUCACGUGCAAGACUUGAAAAGUUCUUUGAAAGGCUACGAAGGUAUAAUCUCAAACUCAAUCCAGCCAAAUAUGCACUUGGAGUUCCUUCUGGGAAGCAUUUGGGUUUUAUAGUUAGUCGAAGAGGCAUUGAGUUAGAUCCCUCCAAGACAAAGACCAUCCGAGAGCUGCCUCCCCCGAAGAAUAAAAAAGGAGUCAUGAGUUUUCUUGGGAGGUUGAACUACAUCAGCAGGUUCAUUGCACAGCUUACAACCACAAGCGAGUCUAUUUUCAAGUUGUUGAAAAAGAACGCCGCUAUCAAGUGGACAGAUGAGUGCCAAGAAGCUUUUGAUAAGAUCAAGGAAUAUUAGUCAAAUCCUUCUAUUUUGGUCCCACCAGAACCUGGUAGGCCUCUAUUUUUAUAUCUAUCAGUAAUAGUUAGUUCUUUUGGUUGUGUUCUGGGUCGAGAACCCGGUAGACCUCUAUUUUUAUAUCUGUUAGUAAUAGAUAGUUCUUUUGGUUGUGUUCUGGGUCAACAUAAUUCCAUAGAAAAAAAGCAACAAGCAAUAUAUUAUUUGAGCAAAACGUUUUACCACUUAUGAGGCCAAAUACACUUUUUUAGAAAAGACAUGUUGUGCCUUAACCUGGGUCGCUCAGAAGCUUAAGCAUUAUCUUUUGGCCUAUACAACUUACCUCAUAUCCCGAAUGGAUCCUCUGAAGUACAUUUUUCAGAAGCCGAUGCCAACUGGCAGAUUGGCAAAGUGGCAAAUCUUGCUCACAGAGUUUGAUAUAGUUUAUGUCACGAGCACUGCCAUGAAGGCACAAGAUUUGACUGAUCAUCUGGCAGAAAACCCGGUGGAUGAUGAGUAUGAAUCUUUGAACACAUACUUCCCAAAUUAAGAGGUUAAUUUAGUUGAAGAAGAAGUCCAAGAUGACAGUAAAGUUUGGAAACUAUACUUUGAUGGGGCUGUCAACAUUAAAGGCGUAAGGAUUGGGUUAAUUCUCGUAUCACCUAUUGGGCAACAUUACCCUGCCACAGCACGACUUCCUUCUUCUGUACGAACAACACAGUAGAAUAUGAAGCUUGCAUCAUGGGUUUGAACAUGACAAUAAACCUAAAUGUGCAUGAAUUGUUGGUAAUGGGAGAUUCACAUUUGCUUAUUCGGCAGGUUCAAGGUGAUUAGGAGACUCGAGACAUCGAGCUCAUUCCAUAUAAACAAUGUGUGGAAGAUCUUAUCAAGAGAUUCAAGUCCAUCGAGUUCAGAUACAUUCCCAGGUUUCACAAUGAAUUAGCUGAUGCAUUGGCCACCCUGGACUCAAUGCUUCCAUAUCCGGGUAAUACUCACAUUGACCCGUUGGAAAUUCAAAUUCAGGAUCAACAUGGUUAUUGCCAUACAAUUGAAGCGGAACUAGAUGUUGAACCAUGGUACCGUCAUAUUAAACUGUUUUUGAAAACAAGAGAAUAUCCGAAACAUGAGGGAUCAAAAGAGAACCAUUAGGCGACUCUCUAAUGGUUUCUUUUUGAGUGGGGAAAUCCUUUACAAAAGAACCCCGGAUUUAAAUUUAUUGAGAUAUGCGAAUGCCAAAGAAUCUGAAAUGAUUAUGAACGAGGUGCAUUCGGGAGUUUGUGGUCCGCGCAUGAAUGGAUUCUAGCAAAGAAGAUCCUUCAGGCAGGAUAUUAUUGGCUUACUAUGGAACGAGAUUGCUUUUGUUUUGUUCGCAAGUGUCACCAGUGUCAGAUUCACAUUGAAUUGAUUCACUCGUCUCGUUCAGAGUUGUAUCCUUUGUCAGCUCAUUGGCCUUUUGUUUCUUGGGGAAUGGAUGUCAUUGGCCCAAUCGAGCCAAAAGCUUUAAAUUGGCACAAAUCCAUAUUGAUUGCAAUUGAUUACUUCACCAGAAGGGUGGAGGCUAUUACAUUAAAAGCAGUUACCAAGAGAGCAGUAGUAGACUUUGUUCACUCUAACAUCAUCUAUCGUUUCGGUAUUCCAAAAACCAUUAUUACAGAUAAUGCUGCUAAUUUGAAUAGUCAUCUGAUGAAGGAGGUAUAUGAAAAAUUUAAAAUUGAGCAUCGUCAUUCUACUUCUUACCGAUCCAAAGCUAAUGGAGUUGUUGAAGCUGCAAAUAAAAACAUCAAGAAGAUUCUUAGGAAGAUGGUCCAAGGGUCUAGAUAAUGGCACGAGAAAUUGCCUUUUGCUCUGUUGGGAUACCGGACAAGAUAACUUUCUGUACAUCAGUUGGUGCAGUACCCUACUUGUUGGUUUAUGGCAUUGAAGCAUUCAUACCUGCUGAAGUUGAGAUUCUAUCUCUCCGGAUAAUUGUUGAUGCUGGGAUUGAAGACACUGAAUGGGUGAAGUCACGAUUGGAACAGUUGAGUUUGAUUGAUGAAAAGUGUUUGGCGGUAGUCUGUUUUGGUCAGUCAUACCAACAAAGAAUGGCACGCGCUUACAACAAGAAAGUGCACCCAAGAAACUUUGAGGUAGGACAAUUUGUUUUGAAAUGCAUCUUUCCACAACAGGAAGAAGAAAAACGAGAGUUCGCCCCGAAUUGGCAAGGUCCUUACCUCGUCAAGAAAGUAUUGUCGAAAAGAGCUCUACACUUGGCAGAUAUAGAAGGAAAGGUGACAGACAUAUCCAUCAAUGCAGAUGCAGUCAAGAGAUACUAUGUCUGACAUGCUUCUAUUGGGGCAGUUGGUUUAUACCUAGCAUUCUCAGGUUGGGAUGACGAAAGGCUAUCAUUCUCUAUGUCUGACAUACUUCUAUUGGGGCAUUUGGUUUAUACUUAGCAUUCUCAGGUUGAGAUGACUAAAGGUUAUCAUUCUCGCUACCCAGACACUGGUCAACCCUAGUUAGCCUUUUGUAGCGUUGUUUAUAUUUCUUUGUGUUUACCUUCUUUUGGAACAAAUGUACUUAAAAAAAUCAUCAAAACAAGUUCAUGUUGUCCUGAACUAAGUUCGACUUGAUUCCGAAAGGAUACGUAGGCAACCUCUCUCUGAGGUUCAGUCACACCAAAUAAAAAUCCACAUCCCAAUAUUCAAAGAAAUUGGGGCAUGUUUUUAUUUUAUUUUUCGAUGGUCGUUCCAUCAAAUGGUUCUAAAAGUUGUAAUUCAGUUGAGUAGUUCUUAUUACCUUUACCUUUUAAGACCUUCUGAUAAGCUUUUGAGAAUACCAAGUCAGUACACUGCGGGUGGCGCUUCAACCAUUGCAAAAAGAAAAAAAAAUAAGAGAGUCUUAUUGGUGAAAACCCUCAAGAGCACUAUAAAGCGAUGAAGAGUUGAGAAAGACAAACGAGAGAGUCUUAUCGGUGAAAACCCUCAAGGGCACUAUAAGGCGAUGGUGAGUUGAGAAAAAGGCAAAUAAGAGAGGUCAAUUGGUGAAAACCCACAAAGGGCAUCGUUGAUCGAUUUUAGGUCUUCUCAUAUCCCGGCACAAACAUGGUUAAAGAACUCAGUUUCAUAGAGAAGUUUACACAGAUUUUAAUCGUUGAUCGAUUUUAGGUCUUCUUAUAUCCCGGCACAAGCAUGGUUAAAUAACUCAGUUUUGAAAGUGAGGUUUACUACAGAUUUUGAGAAUUAGACGGUUUAGACGGAUCAGGCAUCCAGCCCAAAGUGCAUGUGAUGUUCAUUGAAGUCAGCAUGUUCCUCCAGAUAAGUCUUUUCUUAUUCUUCCCCUAAAAGGGAAACUUCUUGAUUAAGUUGUAAUUAUUAGUUCACCUAUUUGUUUUCUUUCGUACUAUUAUUUUUGAGUCCCUUUCAGUUUAACUUUGUCAAAGCAAAGCAAAGAAAAGGCCACAAAAUUGGUUACAGUUUCCUCGUUAUAUGAAUAAAAAAUUUCUGGGCAUAAAUAGUAUAGGCAAAGCCAUAAAGCCAACUUUGAUAUUCCUUGUCAAACAAAAGGAUUGAAGGACUUAGCAAUGUUUCAAGGGCAACAAAAGUUACUCAUCAAAAGUUGUUUUCGGGAACAAAGUUGUUUGCACCAUAGACAAAAAUGGUGAUAGGCGCAAAAUAAUCAGGCGUUAAUGUUGAAAAAAAAUCUUCAAAAAAUAAAGUCAGAAUCUCCCGACAAUUUGUACAAUCAUCGACAGGGCCCUAACAAGUGCAAUGGACCCAAGGUCAAGUCGCCCAAGAAGUUAAGGCCACAAACUGACCACCAUUUAAAAAACUAACGAAUCUUUUUUUUUGUUUAGAACAAGAACAGAUUCGUUUAGUGAAACAAUUCGUAGAAAGACGAACAUCACCAAGUGAAGUUCUCAAAUCCAUGAUUUCCUUCCAAUAUACAUGUAAGCAUGUUAUUUUAGUUUCAUUAUAGGGGCUCAACAUCCUAUCUUCAACAAAGGGUACUACAUCACUUGAUUGCAUUAUUUUCUACAUAGGGUACGGCAUCCCAUAGUAGCAUUUCAAAGUGCCACGAGCCUCAUUUUAUUGCCAACACAGGGUACUAUAUAUCAUGGCUGCAUUAUUUUCUACAUAGGGUAUGACAUCCCCUAAUAGCAUUUCAAAGUGCCACGAGCCUCAUUUUAUGGCCAACACAGUGUUUACGCUGGCUGCAUUAUUUUCUACAAAGGGUAUGACAUUCCCUAGUAGCAUUCAAAGUGCCACGAGCCUCAAUUUAUGGCCAACCCAGGGUACUACAUCUCUAGCUGCAUUAUUUUUUACAUAGGGUACGACAUCCUCUAGUAGUAUUUCAGAGUGUCACGAGCCUCAUUUUAUUUCCAACACAGGGUACUAUAUCCCCUGGCUGCAUUAUUUUCUAUAUAGAGUACGACAUCCCCUAGUAGCAUUUCAGAGAGUCAUGGGCCUCAUUUUAUUUCCAACACAGAGUACUAUAUCCUUUAGUUGCCUCUUUCCUGUUAACAUAGGGUAUAACAGUCCCUAUUAUUAUUAUUAAAAAAAAUCUUUUUCAAUUCUUUAUUCUGCAAUACCAAUGAUAGUUUUUGGUGCAAACUAUGGCAGAAAAUUUUUGUUUGUUUUGUUUGUUUGUGUUGGCUUGUAGGUUUUUUUGUAAAGCACAGAUUUGAUGUGCAAAAAUAAGAUUUCAGAUCUUUCCAGAAAAAGUGGAACGUUUGAUCUGAAUACCAGCUGCAACCAGCUUUGGCGUAAUGCAUGCGAAGACAUAUGGUCAAGAUCUUUCUUUCCAUCAUCGGAUCAAGAAACAAGCAUUAAAGAAUAUUUCAUAGUCUGUUCCAUCGAGAGCAUGAAGUUCCAAUCCAAAGUCAUUGGGCGAAGCAAAUCAAGAAUCAAGACAAGACUCCAGAUGGCAGUUAGAUAGGAAUUUUGUAACUCUUAGAUUUCAAGAGUAUGUAAUCUUCUUUUCAUUUUGAUGUNNNNNNNNNNNNNNNNNNNNNNNNNNNNNNNNNNNNNNNNNNNNNNNNNNNNNNNNNNNNNNNNNNNNNNNNNNNNNNNNNNNNNNNNNNNNNNNNNNNNNNNNNNNNNNNNNNNNNNNNNNNNNNNNNNNNNNNNNNNNNNNNNNNNNNNNNNNNNNGAACCUCAGUGGACUCUCCAUCUAAGUAUACUCCAUCACUCUUCUUUCUACUUGAACUACACGUGACCUGAUUCCCUUAUAACCCGGGAUAUGUAGGCGGCCUAAAAUCAAGACUCGGUCGCACCUUUUUCUUCUAUCUUGUUUUCCUUUUCAAAUGAUAGUGAGGUCAAAAAUCAGUCACUUUGUUCAUUUUUCUUUGCCUGAAAACUUUUCAUGUUUCCAAGCAAAGAGGGGCAUGCUGUGAACACCUAAUUUUUUACCAUACCUAAAUUCUAUACUAGUUUAGUGUAAAUAUUUCUUUUACAUCUAAUCUUAAUAUUUUAAAAGUAUUAUCUUACUCUUAGUAGGUUUUAUUUAAAAAAAAAUAUAUACUAACUAUAUAUUCACAAUUUUAGAGUAUAUGUUUUACUCCUAGUUUUAAAUAAAAGAAAAUAUUUUUAAAAAAUCUAAUUAGAAUUUUAAGUGUAAGCUAUAAUAUUUUUUCUUAGUACAAUUUACAUAUUUAAUUUUCUUAUGUAUAUAAUAUUUAAGUAUAAGGUAGCUAACUAAUAUUUUUAACUAUGCAUUUUACUUUCUGAUUUUUCAUUAAUAAAGAAUAAGUAAAAGUUAUUAAAAAACAAAAAGAAAGAAAACUAACGAAAAGAAAAAAAUAAAAAAAGACAAAGCAAAUAAUAAUAAUAAUAAUAAUAUAACAAAAAGUGAUAAAUCUUAAAAGAUUCAAAUAAAAAUAUCCUAACUACUCACCAUGAUCUUCUCAACCUCUUUCUCCGACUCCAACUCUAACUCUAACUCCUUUACAUACCACCCACAUUCUCUUUAUAAAAGGGAGACAUCUCAUAAAAAAACAGAAAAAAAGGGGAGAAGAAACGAAAGAAAUAAGAGAGAAAAGAAAAAAAACAACGAAAGAAAAAAAAGGAAAAAAACAAAGAGAAAAAACAAACUAAAAAAAACGAGGAAGAAAGAAAGAGAGGCUGGAGCUAGAGUUCGAGAUUUUGAUUGUGGUUCCGAGUUCAAGGUUAGUGGAAAUCAAUAGAUUGUAGCCGUAAUUUUGUUAAAAUCUUAAAAAAAAAAAAAGAUUCAUCUUUGUCUCUUUAAUAUUUGGAUCAUACAUCGUUAGAUAUGUUUGCUGGUAUCUUUUGCGUCAUUUUAUGUUUAAGAAUUUGAAAAGUUUUAAUCAUAUUCGACUUAUGCAUUCUCAAUAUUGUUCAGUAUGAAGUUUAAAAAAAUCGUUUAAAAGAGGACGACUUCUAUGAUAAUUACUAGAUUGUUAGGUGAGUUUAUUUUAAUCUUUAAUGUUAGAUUUCCAUGACAAUUGAAAUUUUUGUUCGAUCUAAUAUAUAUCGCUUGAUUGUUUGCGACCUUAGUAAAAUAAUAACUAAGACGAGUCCUUUUUAUUCUUUCUCGUUCUUUCAGUUUUAAUUAGGGGGAGUGCCUAAAGAAAUUUUUUUACUUCGUUAUAGUUUUGUUUAUUUUUCUUAGAAGUUUUAUUUAUAUUUUUGGUAUAAAAUAAUGUGAUUGACAAAAUUUUGUUGGAACAUGUGUUACUUUAUUAUUUGAGUUGUUGAAAUUUUAGUUCUUUAAUAGUUAAAUCAAAUUCAUAUUCAUAUAGACGUGUAUAUCAAAUUAUGGCAAGUUAGUCGCACAGAACAAUAUGAUAGUUAGAUAAGAUUAUUAUUUUAUAUUAAGUUUUAUUGAUAAAUGUGGCUAGAAUUUGCAUAUUUUUUUUUUAUAAAUGUCUCCAGAUAAUGAUAAAUCAAAUAUUAUGUAGGUUUGUUUAAAUUAUAAAUCAUCAAUAGAAAGCCUCAUUAAUUUGGUUCUAUCCUCUAGGCCAAUGGUCAUCUCUUAGUUAUAUUUUACUUUAAAACCUUAAGAUUUAUUAUAACAGUUAAAAAAUAACAACAAUAAAAUAGAUAAAAUAGUUACUAGCUCAUGUGUUCAUACCCGAACCUUGGAUUGAUACGCUUAAAUAAUAAAAGGAUCAUGNNNNNNNNNNNNNNNNNNNNNNNNNNNNNNNNNNNNNNNNNNNNNNNNNNNNNNNNNNNNNNNNNNNNNNNNNNNNNNNNNNNNNNNNNNNNNNNNNNNNNNNNNNNNNNNNNNNNNNNNNNNNNNNNNNNNNNNNNNNNNNNNNNNNNNNNNNNNCCGUACCUUGAUUUAAUAUUUAAUUUCAAGGAAGUACCUUGUGUGCGUAUUGCAUCUUGGUCAAAAUAAUUAAUAAAAAAUAUAAUAAAUUAAGUGAAGCUGUAAUAAAUAAGUCAUAACCAAUAAAAUACAAGAAUAACUAAAAGUUGAUUUAAGCCUUACAUUAAUCAAUAAAUGCGACCGUGCUAGAACCAUGAGACUCGAGGAGUGCCCUACACCUUUCCCUCGGUCAACAGAAUUCCUUACCCAAUCUUCUAUUUUCGUAGAUCAUAAAUUAAGAGCCAAACCUUCCUUUUGAAAAGGGAUUCAAAUAAAAGGUGACUUGGAACAUCAAAACUCAAUUGCAAGUGGCGACUCUAAAUAAUAAAUAAUCCCUUUUCAAAACGUCACUUUGAUUAGAAAAACUCUUCUAACUCAACUGUGGGAAAAAAGAGGUGUGACAAUAUUAAAUCAAUAACAUUCUUCAGAUAAAAGCUUGCCGAAUAAAACGAUGAUUUAACAAUAUACCCAAAACACCCUAUAUCCGAUGACUAAACAAAAAUUUGACUCCAAAUUUUUAAACAUGCCAUUUUGAUAAGAGUUAAUCCUACCAUUAUCUAUUUCUAAUCAGUAAGACUAAUUACUGGAAGACGAAAACUAUCACAAAACUAUGACAUCUUAGUAAAAAUUGAUUUCACCUUAUCUUUUCCUAAAUCAAAUAGAUUAACUAUUUUAAAAUAAACUUCAUAUCAGAAAAGAUUUUCCAGAAAAGAAUGUCUUGGCCCCAUGGCUUACAUUAACCAUCAUAUGGAUCAACCUGCUAUUGUCAAUUUGAAAACAUAAACUUAAACUAAUAGCUCUGCCUCAUUAGGAUUUUAUAGCAAGAGGCAUUUGAGGCUCACAUAGAAAUGUCACUCAUGAAUUCUAAUAGAACAUAAAAGUAUAAUCAAGAUUCAUACAAGAAAGCCAAGAAAUAUUGGUAUAGAAGAUAUCAAGCAAACCAUUAAACUCAUUUCAAACCAAAAACUCUUAUCAUACUAAUAAUCAGACCAAACAGUAAGAUAGGGAGAAAGGAAAUGGACCUGAAAUUGCUUUCGACUGAAUUUCAACAGCUACUAUGAAGGAAUUGAAAAAUGAUGGAUCUGAACAAAAGAGUUUCGAAAAGAACAGCAACCUACGACUGGAAUCUGAACAACAACAGAACUACGAUCCGAACCAGAACGGGCUUCGACUCGGCACCACAAACCACACCUCGAACGCCAAUCGACAAGUAAUCUCGGACAAAAACUCCAAACGGCACCGGAAUUUUGAAUCUACGCACGAACUCACCCUCAAAAUUCAAUCAAAUUUUCUGUCGUAAUGUUUCUGACUUUGAAACAGAAUUCAAAUAGAAGAAACUUAUUUUCUUUUGUUCUUAUAUAUAUGGAAAAAAAACAGAAUAAGAGAACACAAAAGAAAACUCUUAUUUUCAAAUGGAUUGAAAUUAGAAGAACAACCAAAAAAUCCGAAAACCCUAGCUCUUUCUCACAGUUUCUCCUCCUCUUUCUUCUGCCCGAAAAUCCCAAAUAUAUAGGAAGCCGAGAAACUUCUUCUUCUUUCCUCUCCAAGAAAAACCAAAAAUCUCCACAAAAUUCUCAGAAAAUAAAAACCAAAAUCUGAAAAUCUAUUCUAUUAGUGAGAUAAGAGAAAUUGAAGGAGUAGAUCGAGUGCAACUCAAUCCUACACACCCCAUUUUUCCUAUUUUCGCCUAAAAGAGUAAAUUCGAAAAACGAAAAAUAGAAACAAAAUGCGUAGAAUCAAAUUCUAAUGAUAAGGGAGGGACUAGGAGGGGACCAAUACUUACGUGAAAGUAAUUUCAGGUGGAUUUGGACAUGGGUCGCGGCAGAGUGGUGGAGAGAUGAGGAGAUGGGGGCGGAUGGUCUUGGGAGCUAGGGUUUGGGCAUUUAGGGUUAAGGCUAGGGUUAUAUUUGGGUGUGGGAAAACAAGGGAGGCUGUUAGAUUUGAAGAGAGGGACGACCGCUGUUAGAUGUGAAAAUGAGGUUAGUGGGUCGUUUGGGGCGGACUUGGGCUGCUAAGUUGGGUCAGGGUAGU